GUGAAUCAUCGAAUCUUUGAACGCAAAUUGCGCCUUUUUCGGAAGGCAUGUCUGUUUGAGUGCACCAUUUAACUAAUAUUGUGCAUUUCGUGUUCACACGUUUAUGAGCUGUCCAAAAUUAUGUAUUAUUAUUUUUGGUGGCGCAUGAUAAACAGCGCGAUGCUUGUUUUCAGUUCGAGGUUAGUAAAAUUUUUUCUUUCUUGGGUUGUUAAAAGCGUGAUCGCGCAAUGAUUGUGGCGAUUCUACUAACCCUGCCCCAACGCCACUCUUUCCCGCUAA
rnacentral:misc_RNA from 1 species